GUGGAUUAGUGGCGAACGGGUGAGUAACACGUGGGCAAUCUGCCCUGCACUCUGGGACAAGCCCUGGAAACGGGGUCUAAUACCGGAUAUGACUGUCCGCCGCAUGGUGGAUGGUGUAAAGCUCCGGCGGUGCAGGAUGAGCCCGCGGCCUAUCAGCUAGUUGGUGAGGUAGUGGCUCACCAAGGCGACGACGGGUAGCCGGCCUGAGAGGGCGACCGGCCACACUGGGACUGAGACACGGCCCAGACUCCUACGGGAGGCAGCAGUGGGGAAUAUUGCACAAUGGGCGAAAGCCUGAUGCAGCGACGCCGCGUGAGGGAUGACGGCCUUCGGGUUGUAAACCUCUUUCAGCAGGGAAGAAGCGAAAGUGACGGUACCUGCAGAAGAAGCGCCGGCUAACUACGUGCCAGCAGCCGCGGUAAUACGUAGGGCGCAAGCGUUGUCCGGAAUUAUUGGGCGUAAAGAGCUCGUAGGCGGCUUGUCACGUCGGUUGUGAAAGCCCGGGGCUUAACCCCGGGUCUGCAGUCGAUACGGGCAGGCUAGAGUUCGGUAGGGGAGAUCGGAAUUCCUGGUGUAGCGGUGAAAUGCGCAGAUAUCAGGAGGAACACCGGUGGCGAAGGCGGAUCUCUGGGCCGAUACUGACGCUGAGGAGCGAAAGCGUGGGGAGCGAACAGGAUUAGAUACCCUGGUAGUCCACGCCGUAAACGGUGGGCACUAGGUGUGGGCAACAUUCCACGUUGUCCGUGCCGCAGCUAACGCAUUAAGUGCCCCGCCUGGGGA
rnacentral:rRNA from 1 species